AGGUCUAGAAGAAUAUUGAAGAGGUACUAACUAGUUCCGAAGUAUUCAUAGUUAAGGUUGAAUUUGACCUCUAAACCCUCACAAACAGAAACGUCACUGUAUGAUUUAUACGAGGAUAUUUUAACUAAAAAAAGCUAGAUUUAUUCGUAAUUUUAACGAUUUGAGUUGUAAGAAAUGAAAGAAAUCGUUUUUAUUUGGUUGUUAUGUGUUAUAGCAUCGUCAUCAAGAUAUCCAGGCAUCGAAGAUUUACGAGCGGAAUCAGAUUAUCGUUCGAUCAAACUAAAAUGGCGAUAUCGUUCAUUCAACGGGGUAGAAGGUUUUAAGGUCACGCUAUGCGAAACUACUUCCUGGAAGGUCAAGUAUCCGUGCAAACAACGUCAUCUUCUCCUCAAUGCACCGAGGAAGAAUUCACACGAUUUCGUUCGAAGAUCGACCCUCAAUGGAGGAUUCGAAGCUUCUAUUUACGAAUUAAGAAUGCUGACAAAUUAUAGUAUAUCCGUUCAACCUAUUUUAACUUCUGGAAACAAUGAAGAACUGGCGAAGAAUCGUGCUCUCAAUGUCGAAUCUAAUGUCAUCACCA